rnacentral:misc_RNA from 1 species
GAUGAAGAACGUAGCGAAAUGCGAUAAGUAGUGUGAAUUGCAGAAUUCAGUGAAUCAUCGAAGCUUUGAACGCACAUUGCGCCCCUUGGUAUUCCAUGGGGCAUGCCUGUUCGAGCGUCAUUUGUACCUUCAAGCUUUGCUUGGUGUUGGGUGUUUGUCUCGCCUUUGCGUGUAGACUCGCCUUAAAAUAAUUGGCAGCCGGCGUAUUGAUUUCGGAGCGCAGUACAUCUCGCGCUUUGCACUCAUAACGACAGCGUCCAAAAGUACAUUUUACACUCUUGACCUCGGAUCAGGUAGGGAUACCCGCUGAACUUAAGCAUAUCAAUAAGCGGAGGA